UUGAUGUCUUCUUCUUUAUUUGACUCUCCCAGUUUCCGUUGACUGUGUGAACUACUUUCAUUUUUGAUCUGGAUCUUACCAGCUUAUGAAAUCACUGAAUAAUUAUAGUUAGUUGAAUAAUGAGGGAAGAAGAUGAACUUCCAUUAGAGGGACAACUACACAAAGAAAAAAGCCAAAAGAAUAAAAUGUUGGGACUAAUUCUAAAACCAUAUUACUGGUUCAGAAUGCUAUGUGAUGAAUUUCACUGGAGCUUUGUGUCAGGUGUGGUUAUUAUAUAUGGUAUUAAUCAGGGAUUGAGUACAGGUCUAAGCAAGAUUAGUACUCAGUAUUAUAUGAAGGAUGAGCAAAAGCUACAACCCUCUGAAGCUCAAAUAUAUUCAGGAAUAAUUCAACUUCCUUGGAUUGUGAAGCCUAUUUGGGGCCUUUUAACUGAUACUCUUCCCAUUAGAGGAUACAGAAGGAGGCCAUACUUCAUUCUUGCUGGUUUUCUUGGUGCUUUUGCCAUGCUCAAUUUGUCAUUCGGCCACAACUUACAACUUGCAUCUGCUUUGUUGUGCCUAAUGGGUGGAAGUGCUGCGCAGGCAGUAGCAGAUGUUACUAUUGAUGCAUGUGUCACAGAGAACAGUAUAAGCCAUCCUUCUCUUGCCAGUGACAUGCAAAGCUUGUGUGGAGUAAGCUCUUCAGUUGGGCAACUGAUUGGGUACACUAUCAGUGGCUUUUUGGUUCAUCUAAUUGGAUCUAAGGGAGUGUUUGGAGUUUUAAGCAUUCCAGCUGCGCUGGUAAUUUUGGUAGGAAUGAUGCUGCACGAACCCUUUAUACACAAUGUUGCAUACAGGCAGGUAGGUCAAAAGUUCUUGGAUGCUUGUAAGGCUAUGUGGAUGGCUCUGAAAUGCGAGAAUGUGUGGAGGCCGUGUCUGUACAUGUAUAUUUCCCUUGCAUUGAGUUUGCAUAUUCACGAGGGAAUGUUUUACUGGUAUACAGAUGCAAAGGGUGGCCCAUUGUUCUCAAAGGAGAUUGUAGGUACAAUAUCCUCUGUUGGUGCAGUAGGCUAUCUUCUCGGAGUUCUCCUCUACCAAAAUUCUUUUAAAAACCAUCCUUUUCGUUUCGUACUUUUUUGGUCUCAGCUAUUAUAUGGCGCUUCAGGACUGCUAGAUUUGAUAUUGAUAUCACGAGUAAACCUGCAGUUUGGAAUCCCUGAUUAUGUUGUUGCUGUAUGCGAUGCUGCAAUUUCUCAUAUGAUUGGGCGUCUCAGAUGGAUGCCUCUUCUUGUACUCAGUUCAAAGCUUUGCCCUUCUGGCAUUGAAGGAACUUUUUUCGCUUUGCUAAUGUCAAUUGAUCAUGUUGGCAGUCUCACAGCAUCUUGGGCUGGAGGCCUUUUACUUCACACCUUGAAUGUCACAAGAACUCAAUUUGACAACCUUUGGAUAGCAGUAGUUAUCCGAAGCUUUUCGAGGGUUCUUCCCAUUGGCCUUCUAUUUUUGGUGCCAAGCAGUGAUCCCACUGCUUCUAUUCUACCAACUGAGAUGUUGAAUAGGAAAAAGGGAGACGAUAACUUGGGCGCUCAAAAGCUGGAGAUGACUCCACUAGUAACCAACAUCGAUCAACAUUUAGUGGAUUCAUAAGUGCCAUAGUAGGGAAAGUAUAUUCCACCAUUCUGGUGUGCAAAUGUUUUUGUCUCUCAGCUGCUAUUUUUUUAGCAGCAUGACCGAGGUUGUACAAGACGGAUUUACUAGCUUUCUGGUAAAGAAGUUAGAGCACACGUAACAAAGUUAUUUACCUGUAGUACUUGUGAAUCCAGCUCAAGAAUUGAAACGUGCUAGAGUGGUUGGCUCUGGUAUUGUUGUGAUUUCGAGGAGAAAAAGGAAUCAUUUUUUUUGGCUCUGUCAUUUUUCUUUCCUGCCACAACCUACGGACCACAGGCUCGGUUGUCGAGACAUUCUAUUGUGGGCCUGAUACCUGUUUUUAUAUGCUUGUAAAGAAUAUGCUAAUUUGUAUUCUUUCCUGUAAAAACUUUUGAUUUUUGAUGAGAUGAUUAAGAAUCAAUAUUUUCUUA